CUGGAGACAGGUGGCUGCAUGGCUGUCGUCAGCUCGUGUCGUGAGAUGUGGGUUAAGUCCCGCAACGAGCGCAACCCUUGCCUUUAGUUGCCAGCAGUUCGGCUGGGCACUCUAAAGGGACUGCCGGUGUUAAACCGGAGGAAGGUGGGGAGUGACGUCAAGUCCUCAUGGCCUUUAUGACCAGGGCUACACACGUACUACAAUGGCCGAUACAAAGGGCAGCGACACUGCGAGGUGAAGCCAAUCCCGUAAAAUCGGUCUCAGUCCGGAUUGGAGUCUGCAACUCGACUCCAUGAAGUUGGAAUCGCUAGUAAUCGUGGAUCAGCAUGCCACGGUGAAUACGUUCCCGGGCCUU
rnacentral:rRNA from 1 species